rnacentral:rRNA from 1 species
AGUGAACGCUGGCGGUAGGCCUAACACAUGCAAGUCGAACGGCAGCACAGUAAGAGCUUGCUCUUACGGGUGGCGAGUGGCGGACGGGUGCGGAAUACAUCGCAAUCUACUUUUUCGUGGGUGAUAACGUAGGGACUAUUACGCUAUUACCGCAUACGACCUACGGGUGGAAGCAGCGGAUCUUAGGACCUUGCGCGAUUGUAUGAGCCGAUGUCGGAUUAGCUAGUUGGCGGGGUAAAGGCCCACCAAGGCGACGAUCCGUAGCUGGUCUGAGAGGAUGAUCAGCCACACUGGAACUGAGACACGGUCCAGACUCCUACGGGAGGCAGCAGUGGGGAAUAUUGGACAAUGGGCGCAAGCCUGAUCCAGCCAUGCCGCGUGGGUGAAGAAGGUCUUCGGGUUGUAAAGCCCUUUUGUUGGGGAAGAAAAGCAGUAGGUUAAUACCCCGCUGUUCUGACGGUACCCAAAGAAUAAGCACCGGCUAACUUCGUG